UCAGAGGAACCUCGGAUGAAAGCACGAGUGCACUUGAUGCCACCGAACAAGAGCAAAGUGAGCCACAUGUUGCAGACACAGAGACGAAGGCAGAAGAAGUGGUGGCUGAGGACGAGCAGGCCAAGAUGGACGUAGACAACAGUAAGAUUUCCUCUUGUCUAACUUCGAUUAUAAACUUUCGGCAAUAUUUUUAACCCUACUUAUUUGUUUUCACCUCUAGGUGAAGCAGAGAGUAAGAGAGCGGAGGAAGAUGUUGCAACAGAGAAGAGUGAUCCACAAACUGUAAGUCAUGCUCACUUACACUUUCAGAUGUAAACCACCUGUAGCAUCUGUACCCUAUCAUUUUAUCUGAUCUACAUCGUGUGUGUGUGUGUGUGUGUGUGUGUAAAUGAUGUCCAGACGGCGCACGAUGUCCCUGAGAAAACUGAGGAGAUCAGAGAAAGUGGAUCGGAGAGUCAGUCCAAACUGGUCAAACAACUCAGUAACGUCUCCAGUACAGACAGCCAGGACGAAGAGAAGGGAUCAGACCUGUCGGUCACAUCGGAGGAGAAGACAGAGGGACGAGGAAGACGUAAACGAAAGCUGUCCACUAUUACAGCAGUGAAAGAAUCUGAUGACGAGAGGGAAGAACAGGAAAGCAAAGAGCAACUGUCUGCUGAAGAAACGGAUCAGCAGAAGCUUGUGGAGGUCAGAACACCACGCAGGGGUCGAUCAUCCAAAACCAGCGAGGAGGGAGAGAAGGACCAACCUCAAGAACCUGAGAAAUUAGAGGAGACACCGAGCCGCGGGGGGGGGCGUUCAGGAGCUGCUGCUACAGAAGCCACAGCUGAUGAUCAGAAGAAGGAUGAGAAUAAAGACGAGGAAAACACCGAGAGAGAAGAGGUACGUUAAAAAAGUGCAACAUGUGCAUUAAUAAUAAUAAUAAUAAUAAUAAUAAUAAUAAUAAUAAUAAUAACUUUUUCUUUACCAAGUUGCAAAGACAAACA
rnacentral:lncRNA from 1 species